rnacentral:sRNA from 1 species
UCUUAUUUCUUUAUCAAUUUGUAUCAUUUUUUACACUGGCAUAACUCGGAAGCGGAUGAAUUUUUUAAUUUAUAGUGAUUCUUAAUUUAUCGAAUAUUAAUUUAUAGAGGUAUCACAUGAGUGUUCUACAAUUUUUUCAGUUUCCAAUACAUCUUGACAUAACCGAAU